CCUACGGGGUGCACCAGUAGGGAAUCUUCGGCAAUGGACGAAAGACUGACCGAGCAACGCCGCGCGAGUGAAGAAGGUUUUCGGAUCGUAAAACUCUGUUGUUAGAGAAGAACAAGGACGUUAGUAACUGAACGUCCCCUGACGGUAUCUAACCAGAAAGCCACGGCUAACUACGUGCCAGCAGCCGCGGUAAUACGUAGGUGGCAAGCGUUGGCCGGAUUUAUUGGGCGUAAAGCGAGCGCAGGCGGUUGCUUAAGUCUGAUGUGAAAGCCCCCGGCUCAACCGGGGAGGGUCAUUGGAAACUGGGAGACUUGAGUACAGAAGAGGAGAGUGGAAUUCCAUGUGUAGCGGUGAAAUGCGUAGAUAUAUGGAGGAACACCAGUGGCGAAGGCGGCUCUCUGGUCUGUAACUGACGCUGAGGCUCGAAAGCGUGGGGAGCAAACAGGAUUAGAUACCCGGGUAGUC
rnacentral:rRNA from 1 species